rnacentral:rRNA from 1 species
GACGAACGCUGGCGGCGUGCUUAACACAUGCAAGUCGAACGAAGAGCGAUGGAAGCUUGCUUCUAUCAAUCUUAGUGGCGAACGGGUGAGUAACGCGUAAUCAACCUGCCCUUCAGAGGGGGACAACAGUUGGAAACGACUGCUAAUACCGCAUACGAUCUAAUCUCGGCAUCGAGGAUAGAUGAAAGGUGGCCUCUACAUGUAAGCUAUCACUGAAGGAGGGGAUUGCGUCUGAUUAGCUAGUUGGAGGGGUAACGGCCCACCAAGGCGAUGAUCAGUAGCCGGUCUGAGGGGAUGAACGGCCACAUUGGGACUGAGACACGGCCCAGACUCCUACGGGAGGCAGCAGUGGGGAAUCUUCCGCAAUGGACGAAAGUCUGACGGAGCAACGCCGCGUGAGUGAUGACGGCCUUCGGGUUGUAAAGCUCUGUUAAUCGGGACGAAAGGCCUUCUUGCGAACAGUUAGAAGGAUUGACGGUACCGGAAUAGAAAGCCACGGCUAACUACGUG